rnacentral:rRNA from 1 species
ACGAACGCUGGCGGCAGGCUUAACACCUGCAAGUCGAACGCCCCGCAAGGGGAGUGGCAGACGGGUGAGUAACGCGUGGGAACAUACCCUUUUCUACGGAAUAGCUCUGGGAAACUGGAAUUAAUACCGUAUACGCCCUACGGGGGAAAGAUUUAUCGGGGAAGGAUUGGCCCGCGUUGGAUUAGCUAGUUGGUGGGGUAAAGGCCUACCAAGGCGACGAUCCAUAGCUGGUCUGAGAGGAUGAUCAGCCACAUUGGGACUGAGACACGGCCCAAACUCCUACGGGAGGCAGCAGUGGGGAAUAUUGGACAAUGGGCGCAAGCCUGAUCCAGCCAUGCCGCGUGAGUGAUGAAGGCCUUAGGGUUGUAAAGCUCUUUCACCGAUGAAGAUAAUGACGGUAGUCGGAGAAGAAGCCCCGGCUAACUUCGUG